AGGGCAGAGCUGGAAUUUAAAUCCACAUCUGUUGGGCUGCAAACCCCGUGCACCUAACCACUGCACCAUGCUGGGAAAUGGAGGCAGUGAUUGCACACGCCUGUGCUGAGGAUCUACCAUCUGUCCGUCCAGAAGCACGCCCCACCUUUGGCCAUGUGCGCUGAGCCCUUAGAAGGUGUCCAUCACAUCAGAGGAUGUCCUUGCUCUGUGGCUCCCAUUGAAGUCUGGCUGAGGGCGGGGUGGGGGGGGCAGCCACUGGCAGAUCAGAGGAAGGAGAAGAGUGACGCGGUCAGUGCCAAGCUCCGUCCCUUCAGGGUCACUGUGGAGCAGGAUGGUGCCCAGGUCGCCAGUCCCAGGGGAAGGCUCUAGACACUUCUGCCCCCACCGCAUCUUAUCAGAGUCAUCAAGAAUACAGCGCAGUCAAAUGCUGGAAGGAGCAAAGCUUCACUUUCACAGAGAAGAGAUGGGGCAAGAGCAAUCAGCUGGUGAGACCAGAAGAAGGGCACAGAGCAAGGUCAUCAAGGAGACUUUGGGUCACUCUCUUGCUCAACAUCCAUCCACAGGAGCCUCAGGUUCUUCCCUUGGUCCCAGGUUAUGCUCAGAAACUGUAUCAGACAAGAAUUCUCG